GACGAACGCUGGCGGCGUGCCUAAUACAUGCAAGUCGAACGCUUCUUUCCUCCCGAGUGCUUGCACUCAAUUGGAAAGAGGAGUGGCGGACGGGUGAGUAACACGUGGGUAACCUACCCAUCAGAGGGGGAUAACACUUGGAAACAGGUGCUAAUACCGCAUAACAGUUUAUGCCGCAUGGCAUAAGAGUGAAAGGCGCUUUCGGGUGUCGCUGAUGGAUGGACCCGCGGUGCAUUAGCUAGUUGGUGAGGUAACGGCUCACCAAGGCCACGAUGCAAAGCCGACCUGAGAGGGGGAUCGGCCACACGGGGACUGAGACACGGCCCAGACUCCUACGGGAGGCAGCAGUAGGGAAUCUUCGGCAAUGGACGGAAGUCUGACCGAGCAACGCCGCGUGAGUGAAGAAGGUUUUCGGAUCGUAAAACUCUGUUGUUAGAGAAGAACAAGGACGUUAGUAACUGAACGUCCCCUGACGGUAUCUAACCAGAAAGCCACGGCUAACUACGUGCCAGCAGCCGCCGUAA
rnacentral:rRNA from 1 species